ACCCAAGUUCAAGAUUAAGAGGGGAAAAAAAAUUAUCGGGUCAAAAUAUAGGCUCGAGUCUGACUCGAUACACUAGUGGGUUGGGUUAAUUUUUAUAUUUUCUUCUUUUUGUGUUGGUUUUUUUUUCAAGUUAGGUUGGAUGACCAUGGGUCAAAAUUAUUACCCAAUGCACCGGUGGGUCAGUUCAAAUCAGGGUUUUUUAGUUGAGCUAGGUAGUGUUAGUUGGGUGAGGUAGUCCAUGAUAAGAUCUAUUUACAACUAUGCAAAAAGUAGAGCAAUGAAAAGGUGCACCGAUGCGAGACUUGAUAGUAGCCUAAGUAGAUGAUGGCAGUGGGAGACAUGAGUUAGUGCCUAUUUGAGAUAGCUUAGUUUAGCCAUGCUUUGAUUUGAAGCUGGUUUACUAGGUAACCUAGAUUUUAUAUGAAGCAUGAAGAAUCAUACGGUUUUGCAAUCCCCUGUUAAGUGAGGAGGUGUGCAUGGGCCAGGGUUCGAGGAGGCACAGGAGAGGGAUGGUUGUCGAUGCUCGAGCGGGCACCAGCGUGUUAGGGAAGGAGAGCGAGGAGGAGCUUGAUAGCACGAAGGAGCGCAACAACGUGAAGGACCUUAGCGGUGCGAGCUUGGGGAGGUGCAAAGGUACGAUGCUAGAGGAGGAGGGGACGAGGAGCUUGGUGCAUGGAGGAGGAGGCCACUGGCACAAUGGAUGUGGGAAAGAGCGGUUACUUGGAGGAGGGGAGAAGAAGCAAAGGAGUGACGAGGAAAGCUAGAAUCAUGCUAUGAUGAGGAAAAAACUCCUUUCAUGCAGGCCCCGCCCUAGACGCAGGCGGCCGCCCUGGCCCCCCAGUUAGGCAGGGCCCACCCCAAGUAUGCAACACACAGUAGUAUUAGUAUUUGGCGGUGGUUCAGGUUUCAGAGAUUGAGUUAUACAUAUAGAAGCUG
rnacentral:lncRNA from 1 species